CUUAUUUGGCCCCUCAGUUAAUCUGCAAAUCCUCUGCAGGGCAGUACCUAUAUUAAUGCUCAACUGAAUAAGAGGAAGAAGGUGUUUCCACUCCAGGGACCUGGAAUUUCGGUGGGGAGAUUGCAUCACAGAAUUCUGCCAACCACAGUAAGAUUAUGAAUUUGUGUAUGUGUGUGUGUGCACAUGUGUGUGCUUUUAUUUUUUACAAUUGUUCUCACAAAUGACUUUUUGUAUCGAAAAUUUAUUAAGCAAAAUAUAUGUUUGAUAUUUUUGGUGUAUGUACAGCCUUACUAAAUGUUGACUUUUAUUGAAUGUUUUCUCUGUAUCUAUUAAAGUAAUAUUCUUUUGCUCUAUUAAAUCGUCAAUAUAGUGAAUUGCCUUUGUGGGUUUUCUGAUGUUAAUCCAUCCUUGCAUUUAUGGAACACAGUGUUUUAUUAUGUAACUAUUAUUAAAAUUAUUUAAAAUUAAAUGAAAUUUAAAUAUUCUCUUAGUGUAUCUGACUGCUAGUGAGUCUGAGUAAAGUUUCAUUUACUUUUAAACUAGUCAAGCCUCUCCUAUAAUUCACAUAUGCAUUUCCACUGCCAAAUUUUUCAUCUCUGUUUUAGAAGUGAAAUGGCCUACUGUUUUUUUCCCUUUAAUGUUCUCAUCCAGUCUUCAGUUUGGGAAUCAGAGUUAUAUUAUUCUCAUUAAACCAGUUGAGCAGUUUUUUCCCUCAAAUUUUUCUUGUUCCUUUCUUUCUUUCUUUUCUUUAUUUUUAGAGAUAGAGAGAGAAUCUCAAGCAGCUUCCAUGCUGUCAGCACAGAGCCUGACACAGGGCUCGAUCCCAUAACCCUGGGAUCAUGACCUGCUUAACUGACUGAGCCACUCAGGCGCCUUCCUUCCUUCCUUUCUUCUUUCUUUCUUUCUUUCUUUCUUUCUUUCUUUCUUUCUUUCUUCUUCCUACUGAAACAAUUUGCAUAAGAUGGAUUUUUUUUUUUUUUAGAAGAGGAAACUUCUGUCAAUGGAUGUUUAUUAAAAACUCAUUUGUGGUACUGUCUGGAAUAGAAGCUUGGGUUGGAGGUAAGAGGAGGCACGUUGACUUUGGUGGGGGGAGGGAGAUUUUAAAAAUAUUAAAAAGAAGUUAUCAAGGAGAGAUAUGUAGACCACUCUUGAGGACUUGUCUAUGAAAGGCGGCAGAAGGAAAGGUAAAGAAGGAGGGCGUAGACCCAUCUUGUCAGGUUAUUUGCCCCUCAUUUUCUUGUCAGAGGAUGGGAGACCAUGGAGAAGGUUGGAGUGCUGACAAGCAUGAUCCCACAGAGAGGAAGGGUUUGAAGAAAAGACAGAAGAGAGAUGGAAUAAUCGAAGACCAGGAGAAGACCACGUCUAGGUAGAUGCAUAGGAGGAGAGGUCCUGCGGGCAGGAGAGAGAAACAUGAUGGAGGCAGGUCUGUCGUUCUGCUGGUACCAGGGAGGAGAUCCCCCCAAAGGCCCUGCCCCUGAAACGUGAGACGAGCUCCGACGGACAAGAGAAUGGAUUGGUCCAUACGGAUGAUGAGUUAGAGGGAAUGUCGUGAAAUUCCAUGAAAUUCUACGCAAUGAUUAAAGUUUUGAAGGAAGACGGUCUGUUCCCUAUCUGAGAAUACAAAAAUAAGCAAACCCCAGAAAAUGGUAGAUAUUUGUAGGUUUUAUAAAUCCAAAAGCUAUUAUGGCUUAAAAAUGCACAGAAAGAAUGCAAAAUGAUACAGCCACUUUGGAUGACAGUUGGCAGCCUUUUCCUAAACGGGACAUAGUCUUCGCACGUGAUCAGCCAUUGCAUUCCUUGGCAUUUGAAUGAAUCAAAUGCCUUGACCCAAAUGAGUCAAAAACUCAUGUCCACACAAAGUCCGGGCAUGAAGGCUUACAGCAGCUCUAUCAUAAAUGCCCAAACUUGGAAGCAACCAAGAUGUUCCUCAGUGGGCAAAUGACAAGCAAACUGGUGUAUCUGUAUUAUGGAAUGUUCUUCAGUGAUAAAAAGAAUUGAGCCAUCAACCCCAAAAGACAUGGAAGAAACUUAAAUGCAUAUUAUUAAGUGAAAGAGGCCGAUCCAAAGACUGUACAUACCAGGUGAUUUCUAACUCUAUGACCUUCUGGCAAAGGCAAAACUACAAAGACAAUGCAAAGUUCAAUUGUUACCAGGGACCUGAGGGUGGGAGGGGUGAGUAUGAGGAUUUGGAGGCACAGAAACUACUUUGUAUGACCCCAGAACAGUGGAUACACAUCACCAUACAUUGUCAAAACCCACAGCGUGUGACCCCUGAUGUAGAUGGACUUCGGUUAAAAACAAUGUGUCUCCAUUGACUCAUCAGUUGUAAGAAAUAUACCACACUAACGAAGCUGUUAAUAAUGGGGGAAAUUGGAAGGACCAAGGGGAUAUAUGGGAACUCUAGACUUUUCACUUGAUUUCUUCUGUAAACCCAAAGCUGCUCAAAAAAAAAAAAAAAAGGUCGAUUGAUUUAAAAACAAGUUAAGUAUAAAAUUAAAAAUAUCCCCCCCCCCCGAAAUAGUAAAUAAUGUAUACAUUUUAGACCACUAUUGGGCACUGAGGAUAUUCAAGGUUGCAUUCUUGAUUCCUCAGCAUGUAUAAAGUAUCUCAGAGCUUGACCGAAAACAGCAAGGUCCCAGCAGGUGAGACAAGGCUGGGAAGGAAAAGGAAUACAGGAGGGGCAGACAGGGAACAGGACGGCUGUGUGUCUUCAUGUUUUUCAUGUAACCCGCCUGUUUGGAGUUUGCUGUCCUGUGACGUCACACUUUCUUUAAUGAUGGAGCUAGAGUCAUCCUUGUUUUUACCUCCCUGACUGCAAGAAGUUUUGUUUGUCAUCAGGCCCCCCAAAGCUACUUGUCUACAAAACCACUUGAGCGAGCUCUUGUCCUAUGAUUCCAGACUCCACCUGCUAGAGGCGGAAGAGAGGGGGAAUAAUCAAAGAUCAGGGGAAGACCACGUCUAGGUGGACACCUCAGCUCUGGUUGGAUGUCUAUGCUGGGUGUCCAUAGCUAGACAUCUAUGCAGGGCGCAUCUGUGACUUUCUAGGGUGAGCAAAGACUAGGCUAUUACUUCCAGAAAAGCUUUGCUGAAAGUUUUGGUAUGACAGAAAUUGACCCUAGCAGCUUCAGACUGGAUGCCAGAUGCACUGACUUGUAAAGCCCGAGGCCCAAGCCUGGAGAUCCGGGUGCUGUGGAGUGGUCUCCAAUACCGACCAAUUCUCUGAUUCUCCGACACCAGCUGGGUCUCCAACAAUUCAAUUCAAUCCAGACACUGAUUGCCUUGAGUGAGUAUAGUUCCCACAGGUAAGGACUCAGUCCUACAAGACUGUCCCCACUUCAGACCCCAGUUGCAAGUCCUGGGCCACCUUCUCACGCACUGGCUAUAGAUCAGGGGUUCCCAUGACCCACCGCUAGGUUUCCAUUAUUUGCCAAAACGGCCCACAGGACUCAGGGAGGCACUUAUGUUUACCAUCAUUAUAAGAGACACGAGUCAGGAACAGCCAGACAGAAGAGACACAUAGGGCAAAGUCUAGGGGAGCAGCGGGCUGCUGGGAGCUUCCGUGCCCUCUUUUGAUACACUAUUCCCCUGACUCCUCCAAGUGGUCACCAACUUGAAAGCACAUCAAAUCUUGUUCAAGGGUUUUAAUAGGGCUUAGUCUGCAGCUCCUCCUUCUUCCCAGAGGUGGGUGGGUGGGGCUAAAAGCUCCAUCCCUCUAAUCUCUCGGUCUUUCUGGGGACCAGCCCAUCUGAGGCUAUCUAGGAGCCCCAGCCCGUCACCCCAUGAGCAUACACUCAGGUGUGAUCACAAGGGGCUCAUUAGGAAUAAUGAGACACUCCCAUCACUCAGGAAAUACCAAGGGUUUUAGGAGCUCCGUGCCAGGCACCGAGGACAAAGAACAACUAUUUCCACAUUAGACCACAGGUGCCCUUCUGCUGCCUCUGCUCAUUCUACGGCCGGCCCCAUGGGGAUGAUGUGGGUGACACCCAGGUUGGGUACUGAAGCAUCCUUCGAAGCAAUUUUAUGUUUGAAAUCUUGGGAAAAGUCAUGAAGAAGGCAUCAUGGGAAGAUCAGAACUUCGUUGGAUGUCUUCAUGGUUUUUCAGUGUUGGCUCACAGCCAAACAAUUUUAGUUGGCAAUACAAAAAACUUGGAGAUCUGAUUUCUCUUUAAAAAUCAGAAGGGACUGCCGGAAUGAAACAUUGCCAUGGAUUGUCUGGAGGUGAGCAGGGUUGUCUUUUGGGGCAGAUGUGUCCUCCGCAGCUCACCAAGGUCCCCUCCACACGCACAGCCUUAUUGACACUAGGAGGCUGAUGUCAUUUACACACAGUCUCUACGACUCGAGGUUCAUCGAAAGUUCCCUAAACUGGGGAGGGUUGAAGGCAAAGGUGAGGUCAAGUUCCCGCCUUUUGCUGCACAAGGAAGUAGCUGCUAGUCCCCAAAUGUCUCGGGCUUCCCUUACCCCAUAAUGAUCCGUAUAAGGACCCUUGCAUGUGCACGGCAAAGGGACCAGCGGAAGUCGUAGGAAUCUCUUUUUCAGCACAGGCCACAGCUUCUCCCGGAUAUUUGUGCCAGUGACAAACUGGCCAGUUUACAUGCUUUUAAUGCAUCACAUUGUGCCUUCUUGCCAUCUUAGUUUUCCAUUUACUAAGACCCAUUUUCAGAGUAUUGGGCGUUCCCAAUGGAGCAGACCACGAGAGUGGCCAGAAAUACUUCUCAAUCAUGUAGAGUGCCCCUGAGCUCUGCCCAUGCCGAUGGCUGGGUAAAAGCAACCCCUAUAGUCUGAUUAUUUAGACUUUUCUCUUGUGCCCUUCCUGCCAGACGGUCUUGGAAUGUGAAACUCUUUUGUUAAUCACCCUAAAAAUACAACGUUUAAACUUUCAACAUCAACAGUGCGCACAUAGCGAUAAAAACAACAACAAAAAAAAGGUGCCUUUUCUCCAGAUGUUUCAGGCUUCACACAAAAAAAUUACAAAUUCUAAUUCCUUAGAGAAUUGGCUGUGUUGAAAUAUUUACAGAAGGGUCAAGGAGUUCCUCCUCCUGCCUGGAACGGAGAAGUAAAGCUGUGGGCAGUGGUUAAGCAAGGCCAGCCUUUCAAGCCUUGUUUAUUCUGGAAAUAACUCUGGAAACUGCCUCAUAUGGUUCCCCAGAGGCCUGGAGGUGGGCCUGUGUCAGUACAUGACGAAUGAAAACAAACCCUUCCUUUGCAGCACCGAGCAAAAUCCAUAAAAAAGGUCUUUCUUAGAACUUCCAGACAGACCUGAGGGACUAAAAAAUGAACUUGAAGGUGUAAGGAAGUCAGAGUGCAGAGCUAGACCCAAAAAAUAUUUCACCCAACUUUAUAACCCAUUUAGAGAGUGGAAAUUACAUAAACACGAAGCCCACGGAACUCCGGCGGAUUCAGGGAAUUGGAAACGCUGGUUUGUUUCUUUCAUCUAUCCCCAGCUUAGUAAUGAAGUCAUUCCCUGAGGAUUGGGUGAGUGGCUCCCUGUCUCUUCAGACUCACCCCCAGAGAGGGCAGGACGUGGUCCUGGUUCCUUCUGCCCUGUGCCUGUCCGGGGCCUGGUGGCCGGGAAGCAGCCCGUUGUUGAAUGGACAAAACGUUACGUCCUGCGGGCAUCUCGGUGGAUUUCGAACGGGUGGACAAUCGUGAAAGAUUGUGUCCCCGGGACUGCGAUUUCCCGCGGGGAUGUCCGUUUAUUCCACAGGCCCUCUGGUUCAUAAGGCGCUUAUAAAGGGGAGCCCGGUUUCCUCUAGAUUCCGGAGACGUCGUGAUGAACAUCCGACAGCCGUGUCUGCCUCCCUCUCUGCCAUUAUUCUGAGAGAUUCCCCCUCGUCUGCCCGCCUACCUCUCCCCACCCAGGGACCAGUUCUGGGACCUGGUGUAGGUUCCAGGUGACCCAAAGUACCCCAAUCAGAGUUCUUCCUCAAGAUAUUUCAAACUGGACCAGAGAGAGAGAGGAAAUCCACUUUCCUCCAUGCUCUCGGACUCAGGGUGUGGCUCUGGGUGCUGCCGGUGGCCAGGGCUCCCACGCGUGGGGGGUAGUGUGUGCAGAAGGAUGACAUUUCAGCGGCUUCAAACCCAGCCAGUCUGAUGGAUACUGGUUGCAUUGUCUCAGUAGAUGAGAGUGACGAGGCAUUCAGGGGACACGAGUCCCAUCCAGCUCUUGACUCAAAUUCUAUCCUUGCCUUUUCUGCAAUGCAUUUCUCCGGGCUCGCCCACACUGUACCUCUUCUUGCCUAAGCUAGUGUGAAUUCAGUCUGUACCACUUACAAUAAGAGGAGACUUAAAAGUACAAUAUGAACAGCCCUCGGAAAGCACUAGUGAAUUCCCCUUUGUGGUCUGAAAAACCAGAACUUCAGUGUUGGUAAGAAAUUAUUUGAAAUUUGAAAGUGCAGAUCUUCACUCUGUGUGCAGAUCUGUUCAUUUUGGUUUUGUUCUGUUUUCCAUAUUCACGUUCUUUCUCACACAGAAAAUUCUUAAAGCGUCAUAGCCAUACAAUAAGUGAUUAAGGUCAGCAUUUAUUGGGUGUUCGCGAUGUGCCAGGAAUUAACACAUGUUUAUGUUUUCAUCUUCACAGAAACCUAUGAAACUCAUAUUGUCAUUUCUCCCCACUUUAUAGAUGUGGAAACUGGGGUACAGAGAGGUUAAGCAGCUUCCCCUGGCUUACACACCCAGUAAGUGGGAGAGACAAGAUCUGAACCCAAACCUUCCAGGCUCAGAGACUGGGAUUUUAUUUUAUUUUAUUUUAUUUUAUUUUAUUUUAUUUUAUUUUAUUUUAUUUUAUUUUAUUUUAAGAGAGAGAGCCUGAGCAAGGAAGGGGCAGAGAAAGACUCCUAAGCAGGCUCUGUGCUGGUAGCACAGAGCCUGAUGUGACGCUUGAACCCACAAGCUGUGAGUUCACGACCUGAGCUGAAACCCAGAGUCGGAUGAUUAACCGACGGAGCCACCCAGGCGCCCCACAGAGACUGGGACUUUAAUCUAGAAAUAUAUCAAAGUAUUGCAAACCAGUGAUUUUUAGUUAUGACGAUCUCGUUUAAGACUAAAGUACGAAUUUUUAAUUUUUUGAAAUAAAAUUUUGUUAUUUUGCAAGGCAGUCGUAAAGUUGGAAAUGCCCUAAGAGGUAUUCUGCUGUAUGACCUGAACCUGCGUGUUAGGAGAGGUUAGCCCAGAGAGGUUUCACUUCUGCUUUCCGGUGCCCCCCGUUCCUAUCUCUGGUGUCCAUUCUGGCUGGACCGUUCUGUGGAUGCAUCUGGAAACCGACAUUGAGUCUCCCAGAAGCCAGCACGGGGUGGUGAUCUGCCCUUGAGGAAUGCACGUGCAGCAGAGGGCAUAGCACGGGGAAGCCCUGAGAGCCCAGCCUCUGCCCAGCUUUAUAUCUUGACCGCUGACGGCAUUCAAUAGACCGACGGUUAAAAUGCUCAGCUCCACUCGCUCCAUGUCCCCAAGGCACAUGGAAAGCAGGAGACGGUUGACUUAGGCUCGUUUCUAUGCCCUUCCUGGGAAGCUGGAGAAUUUGGUUGAAACUCAAACGUGUGACCCAGAGUCUUUGGCCAAGUGCUAAUUUCCUACUGUGCAUGUGAUCUCCACACCUCACCAUACAAGUGUAUAAUAAAAGAGAAUACUGUAAAGACAGCAUACCUGGCAUCCUUCUCAGGGUUAAUAUUCUUUUCCUUCAUUAUAUCUUCUACACAUUUGUCUACUUCACUCUGAACAACAAGUGUUGCUUUCUGCAAAACCUGUUUAUGUGAAAGAAAGCUGAAUGAGGAAAAUCCCUUAUAGUUGAAACACAACAGUAAGUUUUGGGGGCAUUUAGUCUUUACAAUGCAUAUAUUAAAAUGCAAAAUAAACCAAAUUUGCUUCACUACAGCUAAAAUCAUACAUACACACAUACAAACAAAUAUAAAAGAGAAGCAGCAUGAUGUAUCAGAUAAAGGCUUCUUCAACUGGAAUCAAUAGGUUCUCAACUGGUAAGUUCUUAGCAAAUGAGCUACCACCACAGUGGGUGCAUGAAGCAGAUAUAUAAGUUUUUUAAAUUACAUAACAAAAACAUGUGUACAAAAAUUUUAAUGCAGAAGNGACGGCAUUCAAUAGACCGACGGUUAAAAUGCUCAGCUCCACUCGCUCCAUGUCCCCAAGGCACAUGGAAAGCAGGAGACGGUUGACUUAGGCUCGUUUCUAUGCCCUUCCUGGGAAGCUGGAGAAUUUGGUUGAAACUCAAACGUGUGACCCAGAGUCUUUGGCCAAGUGCUAAUUUCCUACCUGUUAUUGUUUCCCUUUUGAGCAUCUAGAGAAACAACCCACGUCCUUUAUCCUUGACCAGAGGGGAAUCUGGGAAUCAGAAAUCCUGGGCCCCUCACUUCCUGUGGGGUUGUAAAACAAAAAGGUAAACACUUCACGGGUCGGGUUGGGCGGUGACAGCUCCGAACAGGGCCACGCCCCUAUUGUGGAGUGACUACUGGCUUCUUCUGGUCUUUACACAAACUCUUUCUGGGGGACAGGCCAGGCAGAAGAAAAUGUCAGCCCUGCCUCCGUGGGCCGGCCAGGCCGCCCAGCUUUGCAGCGAGAAAAUGCAGGGAGAUUUGCUCUGUGGGCGGUCUGAAGACAUUAUUUCCAAAGUUUAGGCAGAAAUGUCCGUCCCCGGGUUUCUCAGCAGAGUUUUCUUUACAGGGAUUUGUUCUAAAUGCUUCAGAAUUGCCCGCCAUGAUGCUUCAGUUUGGGAAGGGAAGGAGAGUCUGCAGCCUCGAUAAUUUAUGAAGAGUCUGGAGCUUUGGUGUCUGGCCUGUAGCCCUUGACUCUGCUCAGGAGCCUCGGUGGAACUCGGAUUUUCUUCCUUUUUAGGUUUCCCCACGGUAAGCCCUUCAGAGAACAAGGUCAUGUUGAUCUAUGGCAGUGACUCACGCCAGGCCUUGUCAU
rnacentral:lncRNA from 1 species